rnacentral:misc_RNA from 1 species
GAUGAAGAACGUAGCGAAAUGCGAUACUUGGUGUGAAUUGCAGAAUCCCGUGAACCAUCGAGUCUUUGAACGCAAGUUGCGCCCGAAGCCAUUAGGCCGAGGGCACGCCUGCCUGGGCGUCACACGUCGUUGCCCCCCCAUCUACUCCUUCGGGAUUGCGGGGGGCGGAUGAUGGCCUCCCGUGCGCCUCGCCGCGCGGUUGGCAUAAAUGCCAAGUCCUCGGCGACGCACGCCACGACAAUCGGUGGUUGCGAAACCUCGGUUGCCCGUCGUGUGCGGUCGUCGCGCAUCGAGGGCUCGAAAAAAUUGCCGGGUUCCGGCUCGACUUUCAACGCGACCCCAGGUCAGGCGGGGUUACCCGCUGAAUUUAAGCAUAUCAAUAAGCGGAGA